GCUAAAACUGGCACAUUUAUUCCAUUUGGCUAUGGAGAUAGAAUAUGCCCAGGAAGAGCAUUAAGUCAGUUAGAGCAAAUGAUUUUCAUACACAGGCUUAUCACAAAAUACAGAUGGGAGCCUGUCAAUCCAAACAGUAAAACAAGCUACUGGCCAAUGCCAUCCGUGAAAGAUGGAUACCUCGUACAUGCUAUGUCCAUUUAGAAAGAAAUAACAAGAAAAUAAGCCUUAACUGA